rnacentral:rRNA from 1 species
GCUAAUUCAUUCGGCGGGUGAGUUGUUACACACUCCUUAGCGGAUUCCGACUUCCAUGGCCACCGUCCCGCUGUCUUCAUGAAUUAACGCCCUUUAAUAAAGAUUAAAUCCAUAUUGGGCCUCCUUUACUAUUUGCUUACGGUUGAUCCCGCUUUACCUGAUCUGCUUACCAAACCUUGGCCCACUAACAACUAUCAUUUACACACCACUUUGUUUACACAAGUAAUGCAAAAUACCUAUUCAAAGUUUGAGAAUGGAUUGAAGGCUAUCAACCUCCAAGAUCCCUAAUCAUUAGCUUUACCUGAUAUAAUUGAUCUAGUUGUUGCUAUCCUGAGGGAAAUUUCGGCAGGAACCAGCUACUAGGCGAUUCGAUUAGUCUUUCGCUCCUAUACCCAACUCUGACGAGCGAUUUGCACGUCAGCACCGCGUUAGGACCUCCACCAGGAUUUCUCCUGGCUUCGUCCAGUUCAGGAAUAGUUCAUCACCUUUCGGGUUCUAUCAUAUAUGCUAAAACUCAAAUUGAAAAAUUCGGUCAAUGUUGUUACAUUGUCACUUUAAUUUCGCCCUAAUUUAUAAUUAAACUUGGACUUGCAUAUAUGACAGACUCCUUGGUCCGUGUUUCAAGACGGGAGGUUCUAGUGCCCUUCCGAUCAAAUACUGACGACCGCUUGAUUAGGAGUCUACCCAAAACCUUAUCGCCUUGCUAGCCACGCAUUGCUACGCAACUAACAAAGUUAGACUUGGCAAUAGGCAUACCCCACACGGUAAACAGUAUAAAUAUCCCCACAUAAUGGAGUGAUCGGGCCCACAUAACCCAAAAAAGUUAUGUGGGGAGCAGAGCUCUAUCACCCUUAAACCUAUGUAAUCUCACACUCUUUUCACCCUUUGACAGAAGUGCUUUUCAACGUUCCCUCACGGUACUUGUUUUCUAACGGUCUAACGAACUAUAUUUAGCCUUAGAGGACGGUUAUCCCCUAUAUUCAUGUUGUACUAUCAAACAACAUUACUCUUUCAAGCUAUUCCUUAUAGGACUUACGACGUGCUACAGGACACAACCUGCUAUGGAGCUACUAACACUUCUCAUUACAAGACUUCACACAUCUUCAUCCAAGGAAUAACCCAAAAACCCCACAACUCCCCCGGUUGCCCAAGGGAUUCAGGAUAGGCUUUUCUAUUUUCCCUCGCAGGUACUAAUAGAAUCUCUGUUGAUUUCUUUUCCUCCCGCUAUUAAUAUGCUUAAAUCCACGGGGUAUCCAUCCACAAGACAGGCCAGUAAAAAUGUUUGUAUUGGGAAUUUUGUUAAAACCCUAUAUCCUAUCGUAUCCCCAAGUACGAUAGAAAGGAUUCUAACUUAUCCCAUUACUGCUUCAAGGAUAUGGGGAUAUCCUUGAAAUAAAUAACCGACAACCACCUCAUUCUUAUCCCUAAAAAAAAUUUUACCACGGAAUAAAAAUUACUAUAGAAGCCGGCAACAAAAUAAAAAUACUGGCGCUGUCAAGUAGAUCGCCUUCUCCGAGAAGAAGGUGCUGUCUGCGUUCACCGAUUUGAUGAUUCUCGGGCUUGCGAAUCUCAUUACAUUUCGUUUUUUGCCACGGGUUUCAUCGUUUCGUUAGCCGUGUGAUCAAUUACAUAGUUUUGAUAUAAAAAACAUCCAAAAUGAAUGUUUCUAAAAAUAUUUUUGUGCAAAUCUAAACAAAAAAAAUUAUCCGUGAAAAUGAUCCCUACGCAGGUUCACCUACGAAGACCUUGUUACGACUUUUCCUUCCUACAAAUGAAAAGAUUUAACUGCUUUUCUACAACGUCUUGCGACAGUAGUCCAGCAGGUUCAUCUUUCCAUUCCAUCGGUAGGAGCGACGGGCGGUGUGUACAAAAGGCAGGGACGUAAUCAAUGCAGUAUGAUGAACUACGCUUACUAGGAAUUCCUCGUUGACGAAGAUUUUCCGAUCUUCGAUCCCUGUCAUAAUAGCGUUUCAUAAGAUUUCCCAAUCCUUUUAGGAUAAGGACUAUAAAGUAUAUAGCUUGUUGGUGCUACUAUUGUAGUACGCGUGCAGCCUAGAACAUCUCAGAGCAUCACUGACCUGUUAUGGCCUAAACCCUCCUCGCCUUGUUUUAAUAAGACGCGGUCACCUUAAGAAGCUUAGUGAUUCCAUAACAGUAGGUAUAACCUACUAGAAGAACGACUCCAUUUUACUGGACACUUAACUAUUUAUGGCCUUAGGUCUCGUUCGUUAUCCGAAUUAACGAGACAAAUCACUCCACGAACUGGAAACGGCCAUGCACUACCCUCCACCUAAUCAAGAAAGGACUUUCAACCUGUCAAUCCUCAUAGUGUCCGGAUCUAGUGAGUUUUCCCGUGUUGAGUCAAAUUAAGCCGCAGACUCCACUCCUGGUGGUGCCUUUCCGUCAAUUCCUUUAAGUUUCGGUCUUGCGACUAUACUCCCCCCAGAACCCAAAGUCUUUCGGUUUCCCUUGAAUUCUGAAGGGAUCAGUUGAAGUGUCUCUCCAACCUUCUGAUGAUAUCGUUUAUAGUUGGGACUACGACGGUAUCUAAUCGUCUUCGAUCCCCCAACUUUCGUCCCUGAUAGACGGGUUUGUGGUGGUUCACGACAGCUUUCGCAUUAGUUGGUCACAUAAGGUUCUCAGAAUUUCACCUCUAGCCUCAUGGUACCCGGAACCUCACCCUUACCCCAUUACAAGCGCUGCACAUGACCCUCAAGGGUUGCCCCCAUCUGUUCACAUACAGCUUUCAAGCGAUCCCAUGCUAGGAUGCUCUAGCUUGUUGACAAAGCCGACCUUAAGCAUAACAAUUUUAUCACAGGUGCAAAAGGCAGUGGCCUCCUGUUGCGAACAACAGGGAACAGAAAUACCCAUACAACCUCGAAUCAUGGCAUAAACCAAUCUCCGCGAGGCUCAUCGUAUGCUAUCACUCGCAGUGUUACCCGCAAGUUACACACACAACAAUGAGCAGGAAUGUAUGGAUAUUCCCAUUAAACCUACUACGGGCGUUUUAACUACAGCAGUAUUAAUAUACGCUCUUGGAGCUGGAAUUACCGCGGGUGCUGGCACCAGACUUUUCCUCCAAUGGCUGCUCGAGGAGUGUUUUAAACUCCUCCCAUGGAAAAACAACCCCCUUUCGGGAAUUGCUACCUUACCAUCGUUCGAUGUUAGGUCACUAUAGCUUGUCACUGCCUCUCUCCCCUUGAGAAUUGGGCAAUUUGCGCGCCUGCUGCCGUCCUUAGAUGUGGUAGCAAUCUCUCAGGCUCCCUCUCCGGAAUCGAACACUAAUUCCCCGUACCCGUCAAUGCCAUGUUUGUCCUUUACACAAACAUCUUGCUGAUAGGUAAGAAACACCUCUGCCAGGCCG